CARYCCYGGGGCGCACGGGUGCGUARCGCGUAUGCAACCUACCUUCAUCUGGGGGAUAGCCCGGAGAAAUCCGGAUUAAUACCGCAUAGAAGAUCACAGGAUGGGUCAUUAUCGCAGAUGAUCAAACAUUUAUGGGAUGGAGAUGGGCAGUGCUGUGUGCAUUAGCUAGUUGGCGGGGUAAGCGGCCCAGCCAAGGCGACGAUGACUAGGGGAUCUGAGAGGAUGGCCGCCCCAGCAGCUGGUACUGAGACACGGACCAGACUCUACUACGGGAGGCAGCAGUAAGGAAUAUUGGUCAAUGGAGGCAACUCUGAACCAGCCAUGCCGCGUGCAGGAAGACUGCCCUAUGGGUUGUAAACUGCUUUUAUUCGGGAAUAAACCUUAUUACGUGUAAUAAGCUGAAUGUACCGAAGGAAUAAGGAUCGGCUAACUCCGUGCCAGC
rnacentral:rRNA from 1 species